rnacentral:tRNA from 1 species
GACUCAGUGGUUUAAUGGUAAAACGUCUACCACGGAGCUAGGUGGUCCCGGGUUCGAUCGCCGAUGAGGUCG